AGAGAAUCAUAAACUGUAAUAGGACUAGGGUAUAUUUCUGACUAGGACAGAAAAAUACUAUGCUGAACAUAAGGCUUUAGGUAUUUACACAGUUGAAAAUAUGCUUAGCAGCAAGCAAGCAAGCGGGCUGUGUUUCUCUUCUAGCUCUGAAACUAUUAUCUGAUAGAAGAAUCUGGUGCAAUUCCAUAGAAGUGGGAGUUUUUUUUCUUCACAGAAAAAGGAAUUAUCCAAACGGAAGGAGGAAAGUGGAAAUAAAGCAUGACAGGAACAAAGAGGAAAAAGGAAAAUGCCAUAUGGAGGAAGAUCCACGCCUUUCGCUAUGAAGACUUCAAACUUUGGUGUGUAAGCAGGCUGCCUGUUUUGGAGUGGGCACCACACUAUUGUUGGAAAAUGGACCUGAUCCAUGAUAUAGUUUCUGGGAUGAUGCUGGCAGUUCAACAAGUGACGCAAGGGCUUGCUUUUGCUGUUCUAUCUUCAGUGCAUCCAGUAUUUGGUUUAUAUGGAUCACUCUUUCCUGCUAUUAUUUAUUCCAUAUUUGGAAUGGGUCGUCAUGUUGCCCCAGGAACCUUUGCUCUGACCUCCUUGAUUUCUGCAAAUGCUGUUGAGCGUCUUGUUCCUCCCAUAAACAGCAAUUCCACUACAGACAAUACAUCUGCAGUAUUGGGCUUAUCUGAGUUUGAGAUGCAGCGGAUUGGAGUUGCUGCAGCAGUUUCAUUACUGGGAGGGCUGAUUCAAGUAGCAAUGUUUAUGCUACACUUGGGCAGUGCUACCUUCUUGCUAACAGAGCCAGUGAUAAGUGCAAUGACAACUGGGGCAGCUACACACGUUGUGACUUCGCAAGUGAAGUACCUCUUGGGAAUGAAAAUGCCAUAUAUCUCAGGACCGCUGGGAUUCUUUUAUAUUUAUGCCUACAUCUUUGAAAACAUCAAGUCCGUUCAGUUGGAAGCUAUGCUGUUAUCUGUAUCUAGUAUUGCCAUACUAGUCCUUGUUAAAGAGCUAAAUCAAAAAUUUAAAAAGAAAAUUAAAAUGGUGCUUCCCAUUGAUUUGGUUCUGGUAAUUGCUACCUCUCUCAUUUGCUAUUCUGCUGAUAUGGAGCACAGCUAUGGCCUGGAAGUUGUGGGACAUAUUCCAAAAGGUAUCCCAGCACCAAGGUCUCCACCUUUGAAUAUCCUCCCUGAAGUAGUGACAGAGGCCUUUGGAGUUGCGUUAGUUGGUUAUGUGGCAUCCCUCGCUCUGGCCCAUGACUCUGCUAAAAGAUUUAAUUACUCUGUGGAUGAUAACCAGGAGUUUUUAGCUCAUGGUCUCAGCAAUGUGAUCCCUUCAUUUUUCUUUUGCAUACCAAGUGCAGCAGCCAUGGGGCGAACCAUACUUCUAUACAACACUGGAGCAAAAACACAGGUGGCUUGUCUGAUAUCUUGUAUAUUGGUGCUUGUGGUCAUCUAUGCAAUAGGACCAAUGUUAUACUGGCUACCCAUGAGUGUGCUAGCAAGUAUCAUUGUGGUGGGGCUGAAGGGAAUGCUGAUGCAGUUCCGAGAUUUAAAAAAAUAUUGGAGUGUGGAUAAAAUUGAAUGGAGUAUUUGGGUCAGCACUUAUGUGUUUACAGUUUGCUUUGCUGCUAAUGUAGGGCUAUUAUAUGGUGUCAUCUGCACAAUACUUAUAGUGGUUUUCCGUUUUUCAAGAGCAACAACACUGAGCUUGAAGCACAUGAAAGAAAUGGAAUGCAGAUUCAAAACAGAAGUAGACUUCGAACCUUUACAAUCAGUGAAAAUAGUGUCAGUGAAUAACCCAUUAGUCUUUCUGAAUGCUAAGAAGUUUUAUGCCAAGAUAUUAAAAAUAAUCCAGAAGGAGUGGACGUGUGCACAGCAGCUGUCAGAAGAUAUGAACAAGUAUGAACAGAACAUAUUGCUCACUUCAUUAUCCAAUGGAAACUGCCAUGAAGGGAAUAUGGAUCCUGCAUCUGCUGAUCUAAGAAAUUCAUCUUUACAACAGCAUCCCAGUGAAAAGCACAACCUAAUAUUUGACUGCAGUAACUUGACUUUCUUUGACUACACUGGUAUCUCUGUACUUAUUCAGAUCUACAUGGAUGCUCAAAAAAAUAAUAUAGAUGUUUUUCUGGCCAACUGCAAAGCUUCUUUGAAAAAGGCCCUGAAACUCAGUGGAAAGCUAGAAUCAGAGAAUGCUGUCUUCUAUGAGUCGGUUUCUUCAGCUGUAGCUGCCAUUCAGUUUAACAGGGUUGCCAUGGAAGCAGUUUAGAUUUGUCUUUCUGGUGUUAAAGUGAUGUUUUCCCUCUUCUCCGGCACAUACCUUGCUGUAUAAAUGAUCAAAAUCUCGUCAACAAUAUGGUCAAUGAUGCAGUAAGGGGCUGAAAUCUUCUCAGCUCCCAUUGGCCAUUAUAGGCGGUUAACUUUUGCAAGCUUAAUGAACAUACUGAGGUUUGAUGCCAAUCUGAUUCCAAUCUGUCUAUCAAACUGCUCACUUACAGAAGGAAUGGUGCCAAAGUAUUUCUUCAGAUGUUUAAACAUGGGAUUUUGUUGGUGAUAAUUGCCAAGUAUAUUUAACAAACCAACAGCAACAGUAUUUUCUGCCUAUAUUUCCUGAAAGUUUCUCUCUGAGUUAACAUCAGUGACAGGGUUUAUUUUUGUAACUUAGAUUCUUCUUUGAUGACCACAUAUUUUUCUAUGCAUGUAGAUUUAAAAAAUAGAAAGCAAUUUAAGAUAUUACUGUGAUGUAUGCUGUUUUAGCUGUCUUGUUGCAACUUAAAAGUAUGAUUUUGUGGAGAGAGAAUGCAACAAGAGAAUUUUGUAGUGCACUGUAUCUAAUCCAAAGUUUGUCACUUUUUACAUGCAAAUGCAAACUGUAAUAAAAGGCCAACUUUUUUCUUAAAUAUCUAGAAUUAACCAUCAUAUCUUGCCACUUCCACAUUCUGCUAAAGACAUUGACAUUCUUGAUUGUUUUGAGUGUUGUCUCUUUAUUGCAUUGUUUUAAUGAGGGAUAUAAAAGAAUUUCACUACAAAUUCCUUUGAGAGUAAAUUUUAAGUUUCUACAUCAGUAGAAUCUUGGCGAGGAAAACAGUUCCCAUAACCAAAGACUGACUAGCAUUUGUUCUUCUAUCAAAAAAUAUAUGACAGGGAUUGAAGAUUGCUCUUAUUAUUUUUACAUGCGCAAAGUGGCCAAGGGAUUGUUGCAACCUUUAAAGGCCAAAUGCACCUACCACAAAGCCAGACUUAUUUCCCUAUCUAGCACUUCAUGGACCUAUCAUGGGACAAAGCAUCUACCAUUCUUACAAAGGUAUCUUUAGAUUUAAAAAAGAUCCUCAUCAAAAACUGCUGAACCAGAAAAUGUCCUAACUGAAGCAAGCAGUAAAGACAGCAUAUUUUUGAGAGUGCACAGAGCCAUAUCUUAUCUAUCUUCUUAUCUAGCCAUAUCUUAUCUAUCUUCUUUUUAACUGACAUUGUUCCCCAAAAUAAUGUAUUGCCCCUUUUUAGUUUUGGGCUGUUGUGAAUGUAAAUUAAAUCAGCUCCAUUAAGUUCAGCAGAACGUACUAAUAUAAAGUGUUUGGGAGGAUCUAAAUGGGACUUAUUUUUAAACUACAUUGUGAAGGGAAGAAUCUGUAUUUUCAUAUGAAUAUAUUUGCAUGAGAAGGGCUAAAAUGGUUUGCAUGUACAGGGGCAGUUAUUAUAAUUGUAAAACCUCCCUCUUCCCUUCUCUGGAAUAGCUGUGAAAAAGUAAUCAAAAGCUUGUGGUUAGCUUUUGGUUUGAAUGAAAUAAACUAUGGCUUGUUUGAAACAGGAGACGCUUUUGGUCUCCCCUUGUGUUCAGAUUUGGUGAAUACUCAGGCAAUAUAAAAAUAUUAUAAAUAAAUGUAUUCAUCACCAUUUUCUGUAUGCAGUCAAGACCAAAGCACUUUUUGCCAACCUUUGGGAAAAGGUGCCCUGAAAAAUCCCUCUGCAGAAGCAUUUGCUUGAGAUGCCUCAUCUAGUAGUAUCUUCAUUUAGUUAAAUAUUCUUGUCUGGUUCCCCCAUUGGGCUGUAUUACUUUUCAUCAGCAAGUAGGCCAAUGGUGCCAAAGAGCCUGCAGGUGUCCAGCAAUUAAAUCUUUUACACUGAUUUUUUUAGGCUGAAGCUAACAAAGAUGAAAGGUAUUAGGCACAGUCCAUAAGAAAGUGUUCAGCAGUGAUAAACCCACAAUUUCUAUUUGCUGGCUUGAAAAGAGUUUGUAUGGCUUAUAAAACUAGUGGUAUAAUAUUGAUUAAAAUCCAAUCAAGGGAAAGAAUAUUUCUAUAUUGGUAUAGAGAGCAUCACCAGAAGGCCUGGUCAUUCAAUUUUCCUCCCUGUCUCAGGAUACUGGCUUUGCCGUAUUCCUAGGCUGUAGUUUUUCUGCUCUUCUGCAUUCUGCAAAAGACCUGCAAAAAACGAAAGAGGAGAGUGAGAAAA